rnacentral:rRNA from 1 species
AUACGGAGGAUCCGAGCGUUAUCCGGAUUUAUUGGGUUUACAGGGUGCACAGGCGGCCAUUUACGUCAGCGGUUAAAUCGUGGGGCUCAACCCCAUUCUGCCGUUGAUACUGGGUGGCUUGAUUGCGGUCGAGGUUGGCGGAAUUCGUUGUGUAGCGGUGAAAUGCAUAGAUAUGACGAAGAACACCGAUUGCGUAGGCAGCUGACCAGACCGCAAAUGACGCUCAUGCACGAAAGUGCGGGGAUCGAGCAGGAUUAGAUACCCUGGUAGUCCGCACAGUAAACGAUGAAUACUUGUUUUCGGCGAUAUAAUGUCGGAGGCAAAGCGAAAGCGAUAAGUAUUCCACCUGGGGAGUACGCCGGCAACGGUGAAACUCAAAUGAAUUGACGGGG